GGAAUUUUUGGCAAUGGGCGAAAGCCUGACCAAGCAACGCCGCGUGGAUGAUGAAGUAUCUCGGUACGUAAAAUCCUUUCGACGGGGACGAAGCCGCAAGGUUGACGGUACCCGGAGAUGAAGCCCCGGCUCACUCCGUGCCAGCAGCCGCGGGAAUACGGGGGGGGCAAGCGUUGUUCGGAAUUACUGGGCGUAAAGGGCGCGUAGGCGGCUCACUAAGUCGGGUGUGAAAACUCUGGGCUCAACCCAGAGCCUGCACUCGAAACUGACGAGCUAGAGUUCUGGAGGGGAAAGCGGAAUUCCUGGUGUAGCGGUGAAAUGCGUAGAUAUCAGGAGGAACACCGGUGGCGAAGGCGGCUUUCUGGACAGAAACUGACGCUGAGGCGCGAAAGCUAGGGGAGCAAA
rnacentral:rRNA from 1 species